CAUAACUGUGCGUCCAACGAAUCACUGGAGAAAUGUAACAAUGGUGAAUGUGAGCUUAAACUUACAUUCCAUUGUAGAGAUGGUAAGCACAAGUAAGUUGUACUUUUAAAAUGUCUCUUUGUAAGAAAAUAAUCAAAUGGUAUUGCCACUUUACAUUUUCAUUGAUAAAACAUGUUCUAAUAAAAUUACCAGAAGAAAAUUGUAAACAGGACUUUGUGUAUGACAUGCUAAUGUGAAAAAUCUUAGAGAUGUACUGGAUACCGCACUUACCAAGUAACCCAGGUGCUCUGACGCCAAGGCUGGCCAGGCCUCCCUUCCAAGGUAUGCAGAAUAAAUAACGGUUAAGGCACUCCGGGAUAACAAAAAAUAGGAUUUUUUCUUAUCCAGGAGUGCCUGAACUGUUUUUAUUCUGCACGAUUUUUUUGUUAUUAAGGAGUGCCUGAACCAUUAUUUAUUCUGCAUAAUGUGAAAAAUCUUGCUAACAAAGAAAAGUGACAACAUCGCUCAUGUCGGUCUCCCACAUAACAACACAGCAAGACUACCAAGCACCUACCUUACCAAGUUUAUGAACUACCUCCAGCAUGGUUUACAUUUAUGUGCUACUACUACAUGCCAGGGCAAAGUGUCACUCCUAUUCAAUAAUACACACUUCACAGUACAUCAUGUUAUUUCAUUGUGGUUUUUAGUGUAAACAAGUACCCAGUAUUCCACAUAAUAUACACAUGUACAGGCGGCAAGAGUUCCAUUGCAUAAAUGUAAUUUUUAUUCUUUGCUGCCUGUCCUUGCUGUUUGGUUUUCCUGACUAUGAUAUCUGUAUUUACUACUCAUGCAACUGUUUUAUUAAUCACGGCAUAGGUUGCAAUCUGUUGGAGUCAGUACUUAUAAACAAUGGCACUUGCCAGGGCUGCCCCCUUUCACCAUUAUGGUUUGCCCUUUCUUUAAAGCCAUUUCUGAGCACUGUGAGAGCCAACAAACAUUUCUGGUAUUUGAUCUGGCUCUACUGAUUACAAGAUUACCGCAUACCCAGACAACUUACUUUUUUCUUUGGCGAAUCCCCUGCAAUCCCUUUGCAAUAAAAUCAUUCUUCUGUGUCUUUUUCCAAGUUGAUUGAAAUAAGUCUUUUAUAAAUGUUACGGUUGCCUACAGGCUAGCUGGAAGUUGGACCGCUUAGAGGUCCUAGUUCCUGAUCUUGGAGAGUGAGAACCCGCUCCGGACAGCAUACAGCAAAUAAUCCUGGAAAUGUAGAAAUCCCACUAGCUAUUAGUAGAGCUAGUAUACAUCUUUCCCUACAACAUGAGUCGAGGCUGUGAGUUGAGGGUAAAAAUAGAACUGGUUUAAUGGGUACUCAUGCACGACCUUAAAUAUAUAUUUUCAGGCCAGAGGAACCCCUCUGGACUUGAUGGUACACAGGACAAUACAGUGUCACAGCCAAUAGGAACAAAGUGCCUUUUCCAAAACACUCCCUCCUACACGGUUACAAUAACUCAAUUAUCUCCAGGUACAUGAAAUAACCACACUUAUUAUACAUACAUGAAAACAGAAUAAAAUGAACAACUUUUAUAUUAUAAUGUUCAGAUAUCCCCAGACAGCUUGGAUCAGAGCGCACAAAAUAUACGAAAAGCGCUCAGAUUUCACGAAUGGUAUACGAAUGUCAUGGGGAGGAAACUCGACUGUUAGUAGCCUGUGUAGCCUCGGCCACGGGGUCUGGCCAGGGGCCGGUGUAAGUCUCGUAGUUACCAAUUGUCGAAUGGUAUGUCUUUCGGGGUUUAGGUACAAAUAGACGGGGUAAGCUGUAUCCCAGCGGGAUUCGUGCAAACUAUUGUCCGAAAAUAGUACCAUGAGUUUGCCGACCAAGUUCCGCUGGGCGUUCGAUGACAAAAGAUGGCCGCCACCACGUGUUUGGCAUAUGUAUGAAUACCACCCUGGCGAUAAGAAAUUAUAUUGCGGUUAACCACAAAAACCGCAGCUUCAAGGUGAUUAAAUAGGGACACACACCAGGGUCCGGGUGGUCGGUCAUUCUGGAGUUCUUUCGCCUUUUAGUUUGGCUCCCCAUUCGACCUUUUACAUACGAAUGGUGACCACCCUGAUGGCAGCCAAUUAGGCUGCGGUUAACUGCAAACCGCAGCUCCUGGGUGGUUAAUUGCAGGCACACUCCUCAGGUAGGGUGGUCGUCCGUUCAACGGUUUAUUCUGUGUUUUGCAAGGUGAACGGGGUUAAUUGGACUCCAACCUCUCCUUCACCCCUUAUGUCCAAUCAAUUGCCAAAUCCUGUCACUUCCAUCUCAAAAACAUAGCGCGCAUCCACCCCUAUUUAACCAUGGAUGCGACUAAGGUGCUGGUCCAUGCUCUUGUUCUCUCUCGCCUGGAUUACUGCAAUACUCUUCUCAGUGGUCUUACGUGUUCCCAGAUGGCAACGUUGCAAUCUAUAACGAAUGCGGCGGCAAGGCUCAUUUUCCUGUCCGCUUGGACCUCCCACGCCUCCCCGCUCUGUCAGUCACUGUUAGAUAUAGGGCUCAAUUUAAAAUUCUGGUGCUUGCUUACAAGUGCCUACAUAAUGCUGCUCCAACCUACCUAUCCUCCCUAAUACACAAGUAUGUCCCGUCAAGGCCCCUACGCUCUGCCAAAGACCUAAGUCUAUCCGCUGUCCGUACUCCCACCUCUAACGCUCGCCUCCAAGACUUUUCCAGGGCUGCACCUCUUCUGUGGAACUCCCUUCCCUCCUCCGUAAGAAUUUCACCCAGUCUCCGCUCAUUCAAAAAAUCAUUGAAAACUCACUUCUUCAAGAAAGCAUAUCAAUUAAACUGUUAGCAGGUUUUCACCCCUCACCCUCCAUGACUCCUCUCCUGCAACUAUCAAAAAUUACCUGUUAAGCCCUCAGCGAAUACUUUUCUAACAUCUUACUUCAUACCCCUACUUUUACUCUUUGUGUCACUAUGCCCCACUCCCUCUAGAAUGUAAGCUCAUUGAGCAGGGCCCUCUACCUCUCUGUUCAUGUACGUCGAGUUGUCUGGUUUCAAUUAAAUGUCUGUUAGUCCACCGUUUGUACAGCGCUACGGAAUCUGAUGGUGCUAUAUAAAUAAUAAAAUAAUAAUAAUUGGCGGCACACGCCAAAGGCCGGGUGGUCGGCCAUUCGUACAUACGAAUAGUACAAUAUUAUUCAAAUAAAAGCAACAAAAGCAUCAGAAUAACUGUGUUGUAGCAGAAAGAGGGAACUUCUGCAACAAUAUAUAUUUAUUCUUGGGUGAAAGACUUGCCACGUUAAUAUACAUAUAUAGUAACCAAAAAUACUAAUAUGCAAUCUGACUUACGGUUUCAUCAGGUUUAUUCUCACAGUUACGGAUACAUAAUAAAACAACAAAGGAUGUUACAGGAUAAUGGAUGUUCAACAGCAGAUGGUAAUUGCUGGACUCCUGGAGGGAGAGUUAGACUCUACAUAGUUAGAGAACAGGCGGACAAGAAGAACCCCGUUGCAGCAAGCAGCAAGCAACAGCAAGACCUUGUGGUCCUUUGUCCACUAUUCUAUAUAGAUCGGACCAUAAUGAUGUCAGAAUAUAACCCUAACUAUAUAAGGACAAGAUCCCCAAUCCACAUUCCAGACUUCUCAGUCAAAGAGAGUCUUGUGACUGUGAUACCAUUCGUUACUUAUGUCAAUUCAGGCAUCCAUACAUAAUCAAUAGAAACAUAGUAUAUGUAAUACUCUACACCAGCGUUUCCCAAUUGGUGUUCUGCAGAACCCUAGAGUUUUGCAGAACACAAAUUGGGGUUCAGCCCAAAAAAUUUAAAAUAAAAUGGUCGCUGGCGGCGAGGGAGCAGUGAUCUCUCUGCUCAGCUUCCUCGCGUGCACAGCAGUGAUGCCGGAGCCAGAAUAUGACGUGACUCCAGCUCCGACAUCACUAAGGGAGCUGAGCAGAGAGUUUACUUCGCCGCCCGCCUCCACCGCUCACCUGUCUGUCCCUCGCCGCCCACCAAGCUGCAGCCAUCCCCACUGGACCACAUGGACUUCAUGCCAGCAGCCCAACUGGACCCCAGGCACUCCAUGCCAGCACUCCUAAAUGUAGGGGGGCUGAGUGGUGUAAAAUAUAAGAAAAAAAAUAAGUUAUAUGUGUCUGUUAGGGAGUUUGUAUGUGUUUGUGUGUGUGUUUGUCAGUGAGAGUGAAUGCGUGCUUGUCAGUGAGUGUGUGAGUAUAUGUGUUUGUCAGUGAGAAUGUAUCUGUUCUUGUCAAUGAGAGUGUAUAUGUGUUUGUAUGUGUGUCUGUCAAAGAGUGUGUGUGUUUGUCAGUGGGAGUGUAUGUGUGUCUGUCAAAGAGUGUGUUUGUCAGUGUGUGUAUAUGUGCCAGUAUGUAUCAGUGUGUUUGUAAGUGCCUGUGUGUGUGUAUCUAAGUGUGUCAGUGUGUAUCUAUGGGUGCAAGUGUGUGUAUGUCACUGUGUGUGUGUAUUUGUGAGUCAAGAUGUGUAUGUCAGUGUGUGUAUCUGUGUGUAAAGGUGUGUGUCUGUGUGUAUCUGUGUGCCAGUGUGUGUGUGUGUGUAUAUAUGUGUGCCAGAUACAUACACACUGACACAGAGAUACAUAAAUACAUAUACACACACAUGAACACUGUGUGUCAAGGUGUGUGUAUCUGUGUGCCACUAUCUGCCAGUGUGUGUAUCUGUGUGUCAGAUUCAUACACACUGGCACAUACAAACACAGAUACACACACUUUGAAACAUAGAUACACACACCUUGACACACACAUACAUACACACACAGAUACACACCGUGUGUCAAGGUGUGUAUCUUUGUCAGUGUGUGUAUUUGUGUGCCACUAUCUGCCAGUGUGUGUAUCUGUGUGUCAGAUUCAUACACACUGGCACAUAGAAACACAAAUACACACACCUUGACACACAGAUACACACACCUUGACAAACAGUUGCAUACAUACAGUUGCAAGAAAAAGUAUGUGAACCCUUUGGAAUGAUAUGGAUUUCUGCACAAAUUGGUCAUAAAAUGUGAUCUGAUCAUCAUCUAAGUCACAACAAUAGACAAUCACAGUCUGCUUAAACUAAUAACACACAAAGAAUGAAAUGUUGCCAUGUUUUUAUUGAACACACCAUGUAAACAUUCACAGUGCAGGUGGAAAAAGUAUGUGAACCCCUAGACUAAUGACAUCUCCAAGAGCUAAUUGGAGUGAGAUGUCAGCCAACUGGAGUCCAAUCAAUGAGAUGAGAUUGGAGGUGUUGGUUACAGCUGCCCUGCCCUAUAAAAACACACACCAGUUCUGGGUUUGCUUUUCACAAGAAGCAUUGCCUGAUGUGAAUGAUGCCUCACACAAAAGAGCUCUCAGAAGACCUACGAUUAAGAAUUGUUGACUUGCAUAAAGCUGGAAAGGGUUAUAAAAGUAUCUCCAAAAGCCUUGCUGUUCAUCAGUCCACGGUAAGACAAAUGUCUUUAAAUGGAGAAAGUUCAGCACUGCUGCUACUCUCCCUAGGAGUGGCCGUCCCGUAAAGAUGACUGCAAGAGCACAGCGCAGACUGCUCAAUGAGGUGAAGAAGAAUCCUAGAGUGACAGCUAAAGACUUGCAAAAGUCACUGGCAAAUGCUAACAUCCCUGUUAGCGAAUCUACAAUACGUAAAACACUAAACAAGAAUGGAUUUCAUGGGAGGAAGCCACUGCUGUCCAAACAAAACAUUGCUGCAUGUUUACAAUUUGCACAAGAGUACCUGGAUGUUCCACAGCAGUACUGGCAAAAUAUUCUGUGGACAGAUGAAACCAAAGUUAAGUUGUUUGGAAGAAACACACAACACUACGUGUGGUGAAAAAAAGGCACAGCACGCCAACAUCAAAACCUCAUCCCAACUGUGAAGUAUGGUGGUUGGGGCAUCGUGGUUUGGGGCUGCUUUGCUACAUCAGGGCCUGGACGGAUUGCUAUCAUCGAAGGAAAAAUGAAUUCCCAAGUUUAUCACAACAUUUUGCAGGAGAACUUAAGGCCAUCUGUCUACCAGCUGAAGCUCAACAGAAGAUGGGUGUCGCAACAGGACAAUGACCCAAAGCAGAAGUAAAUAAACAACAGAAUGGCUUAACCCCUUAAGGACAGAGCCAAAUGUGCACGUUGUGAACAAAACAAAAUGUAAACAAAACCUGGCAUUUGCGCUACACGUCUGUCCAACCGUAAUUCACCUCUUUCAUAUUAAAUGCACCCACCCUUAUUAUAUAUCAUUUUAUUCAGGGGAAACAGGGCUUUCAUUUAAUAUCAAAUAUUUAGCUAUGAAACAUAAUUUAAUAUGAAAAAAAUGGGAGAAAAUAAGAUUUUUUUAUUUUUUUAGUUCUACAUGACAUUUUAACGGUCAAUGUCAUAAUACUGUUUGCUUUUACUGCAAUAAAAUACACAUAUUUGUAUUCAGCAAAGUCUCACAUGUAAAACAGUACCCCCUAUGUACAGGUUUUAUGGCGUUUUGGGAAGUUACAGGGUCAAAUAUAGCACGUUACAUUUGAAAUUGAAAUUCGCCAGAUUGGUUACGUUGCCUUUGAGACUGUAUAGUAGCCCAGGAAUUAAAUUUACACCCAUAAUGGCAUACCAUUUGCAAUAGUAGACAACCCAAGGUAUUGCAAAUGGGGUAUGUCCAGUCUUUUUUAGUAGCCAUUUGGUCACAAACACUGGCCAAAGUUAGCGUUAGUAUUUGUUUGUGUGAAAAAUGCAAAAAACGCCAAUUUUGGCCAGUGUUUGUGACUAAGUGGCUACUAAAAAAGACUGGACAUACCCCGUUUGCAAUACCUUGGGUUGUCUACUAUUGCAAAUGGUAUGCCAUCAUAGGGGUAAUUUUCAUUCUUGGGCUACCAUAGGGUCUCAAAGGCACCGUAACCAAUCUGGCGAAUUUUAAUGUGAAAAAAAUGAAACGCAAGCCUUAUAUUUGACGCUGUAACUUUUGAAAACACCAUAAAACCUGUACAUGAGGGGUACUGUUGUACUCGGGAGACUUCGCUGAACACAAAUAUUUGUGUUUCAAAACAGUAAAAAGUAUCACAGCAAUAAUAUUGUCCGUGUAAGUGCUGUUUGUGCAUGAAAAAUGCAAAAAAUUCACUUUUACUGGCGAUAUCAUCGUUGUAAUACAUUUUACUGUUUUGAAACACUAAUAUUUGUGUUCAGCGAAGUCUCCCGAGUAGAACAGUACCCCCCAUGUACAGGUUUUAUGGUGUCUUGGAAAGUUAUAGGGUUAAAUAUAGUGCUAGCCAAUUAAAUUCCCUUUACUUUCGGCAUGGGUUGUCAGGCAGGUCCCUCUAAUUGUAAUUAAUUAAGAUACCUAAUAAUGUAAAAAUAUUACAUAAAUAUAUAUGUAGAAUUAAUAUAUGUAUAUAUAUAUAUAUAUAUAUACGUAUGUGAAUCUAUAUGUGUAUAUCUAUAUAAUUUUUUAAAAUAUUUUUAUUUAUAUAUAGGUAUAUAUAUAUAGUGAUAUAUACGUAUAUAUUUAAGUAUGUAGAUAUAUAUAUUAUUUCGUUCUACGUGUAUUUUGAUAUAAAUAUAUAUAUAUUAAUAUCACAAUACAGUUAGAACGAAAUAACACACAUCUAUAUAUUUUUUAAUUAUUUUUUUUUAUUUUAUUUUUUAACGUAUUUAAUUUUUUUAUAUUAUAUAUAAAUAUAUAAUAAUAAUUAUAUAUAUAUUUAAUCAGUAUCAGUCUACGUGUAAUUUGAUAUUAAUAUAUAAUUAUAUAUUAAUAGUAAAAUACACCUAGACGGUGUACGUGUGUAUGUAUAUGUGUGUAUAUAUACUUAGAUCAUAUAUAUAUGAUAUAUAUAUGAUCUAAGUAUAUAUAUAUUUUUUUUUUACACUAAUACAUUUUAUUUUAAUUUCAUUUCCAACCAGCAGGGGGACCACCUGUCAUUACAGGCAGCCCCCCUGCUGGCAAUGCAGGAGGCAGCCUACCCGGCCAUGUGAUUGUGGGGUCCUCACUAGGACCCCACUCUCACAUGGCCGGGGGGCACCGGAGGAAGAGGAUCUGCCGCGGGGGUGCUCCCUGGGAGUCCCCUCCACCGCGAUCGCCGGCGUGGGAACGCCGGCGACCGGGUAAGUAGACAAAAACCGGAGGGCGUACAAUUACGCCCGGCGGCGUUUAGAGCUGCCUAAAAUAGGGCGUAAUUGUACGUCCUCCGGUCAGAAGGGGUUAAACCGAAGAAAAUACGCCUUCUGAAGUGGCCCAGUCAGUGUCCUGACCUCAACCCGAUUGAGAUGCUGUGGCAUGACCUCAAGAAAGCAAUUCACACCAGACAUCCCAAGAAUAUUGCUGAACUGAAACAGUUCUGUAAAGAGGAAUGGUCAAGAAUUACUCCUGACCGUUGUGCACGUCUGAUCUGCAACUACAGGAAACAUUUGGUUCUAGAACAGUGAACUGUAAAUUGCAUGGGUCAAAGACUGGACAUUGGUUACAAUGCAGGGCCGGACUGGGAAAAAAAUUAGGCCCGGACAUUUUUCAUUCAGAGCGGCCCCCAAAGAAGAGGGUGGGGCCAGAGAAGGUGUGCUUUGUCAUCACUAAUGACAAGCACGCCCCCUCUCAAAGUGAGCAUGUUGUUUCAAUGCGCAGAGCCAUGCUGAAGAGCUCUGGCAUUAGAAAAAGGCCCUGAAUUUGUUCUGCGCAGCGCAAGCAAAUUUAAUAACAUGCUUCAGCUGUGUUUGCUUUUAAAUUGUCUCUGGUGUCUCCACAAGUGGGAUACCAGAGGACAAAAGGGCCAGGAUAGUGAAUGGUGCAUGUGUCUGGAGCCGGCUUGUGGGAUUGUGUGUGUGUAGAGUGUUGUGUGGUAUUGUGUAAAUAGGUCAAAAAUUUUACUUAACCUGAUGCGUGGUAUUAUCUUUUAGAUUUUUCCUUCUAAAGGUGCUAGGUGCUAGAUUCUUCCCUCUCUAAAAAUUCUAUCAGGCCUACUUGGUAAUUUAGAACCCAAAAACCCAUCCUCUAAUAAAAUGGGCCAAUGCUUAUUCAAAAUCCGUUUUAUAUUGAAAGCAUGAGAAUUAAAAUUCUUAUUAGAAGAGAAUUCAAAUAUAUUCUUGUGUUUGCCAUCGUGUUCUUAUUUUUUAUCAAGGAGAAGAUCUCCCCUUCUCAUUACUCCUACUUUUUUUUACCUCCAAUUCUAGUUUUUUUAGGUGAUACCCUUUCUCUACAAAAUGUAUUAGUUAAUAUUUGUGCUUGCUGUAUAUAUGUUAUGUAUUCAUCCGCACAUAAAAAUGUAGUUAAUGGCAUUUACUGUCCUGACAGGAAAAGUUGUGCCGAGCAACAUUACCAUCCUGACAGGAAAAGUUGUGCCAAGCAACAAUCAUCCACAUGGAAACCUGGUAGUUACUUUUGGGGUCAAAGGCUGGUCAUGGCCAAUCAAAUCCACAGGAGAGUUUGUGUUGAGCAGCAAUCAUGCACAUGGAAACCUGGUAAUUGCCUUUGGGGUCAAAGGCCGGUUACAGCCAAUCAGAUCCACAGGAGGGGUAUUUAAACCCAAUUCUUCUCUAGCUCAUUGCCCUGUCGUGGUUUCAUGCCUAUGGUUAUCCGAGAGUGCGUUCCUGGUCUUGAUUUUCUGGUAUUUUACUUUGGCUUUGUUUUGACUUCCCUGAUAUCUGGUAUCCUUGACUUUUGGCUUUCCCUCAUCUUUGUGUCUGAUUCUGUGUUCCUGACCUAGGCAAGUGUUUUGACUAUUCUUGGAUACAUUAUGUCCGGCCACUCUAAGGUCCAGUUAUAUGUUAUCCUUACUUUUUGGUACCAUUGAUAUACAUUUUGGGUUAUGACUACUUUUAUCAUCAAUGACAUUGUUGGUAUCAGUAGGCUUAAAAUAUGUUUUAGUCUUAAUCUUGGAGUAUUCGAUAUAUAUUGAUAAAUCUAAAAGAAUUUAUUCUAGAUUUAUUUUAAAAAAUUAACUAUUUAGACUUAAUUAAAAAUUCUCAGAAAUCUGACUGGAGUCUAGUUCCUGUAAAAGAUGUUUCAUAUCUUUUAUAUGUGAUUUAGCGAACUGGGAAUACUUCGGUAAAGAGUGUUCUAUAAGCUCAGAAAGCUUAGAGGUUAAUGAGUCAAUCACACUAAUAAUGGGUCGCCCUGGUGAGUUCUCUUUAGUCUUAUGUACCUUUGGAAGGAAAUAGAAGGUUGUGAUUCUGGGAAACUGUUGGAAUAUAAAUGAAAACACUUUAUCAUUUAUCCUCUCUUUUGUCUUUGCCUCUUCCAAUAAGGAUUUCAAUUCAUCAUUGAAAUCCCUAUUCUGAUUUCCUGAAAGCUUCAAAUAAGUAAUUUUGUUAUCUAAGAGUCUAUAAACUUCUUUCAAGUAAUAUUCCUCCGAACAACUAUUCCGCCCCCCUUAUUUGCAUUUUAUAUUACAUCAUCCCUCUCUUGUAAUGUUUUCAAUAUUGCCGAUUCAGUCCUAGUUAAGUAGGUGCAGAAUUUUUUCUUCUGCUUCAAUUUAUCAAAAUCUUUGAUCAAUUGAAAACAUGAAGUUGACUUCCUUUCUCACUUGGGUUAAAAGAAGAUUUGGAUCUGAAUUAACUUAAUAAGUCGGGUGAUCUUACAUCCAUCAGAUUGUCAUAUAUAGGAGAAUAUUCAAGAAUCUUUUAAUACUCAUUUUUUUCUGAUGAAUGUUUGGGUAUCUGUGAAAAUUUGGAUGGGAUCUGAAUGUACAUUUGGGGAAAACGUUAAAUCUUUACUUAAAAUUAAACAUUCCUAGGGUAAUAAAUUAACCUUAGAAAUAUUAAAAAUUCCCAACUCCUCCUCCUGUUCAGGAUUUAAAAGUAUAUCUCCUCUAUCUCGCCACUUAUCCUCUUAACUGGGGUAUGUUUGUCUGCAAGGGGAGCGAAGCGGUUUAUUAAACUUAUCCUCAGUUGUUUCAGAAAAAUAAACUCAGUUAUUGCUCUUUUGUUUAGGUCUUGCCCCCUUCCUAAAAAAAUCCCUAUUCUGAUGGAUGGUAGGUUCAGUGGGACCAUUUUCCUCAGUCUAUUCUAUCUUCUAUUCUAUCUUAUAUUCUUCUUUCAAAAUGGUCUUUCUCUCCUUGUGUUUUUGGGUAAUUGUCCCUAAUAUUUUUCUUAUAUAUAGGUCACACAUUCCCUCCAGGUAUAAUGGUCCCUAAGAAAUUUUCCAACAGUGUGCAUAAUAACAACAGGGCCUGAAUGCCACAGAGAAAUAUGUAUUCUGCUUAAUUUUUGCCAAUGUAAGCAAAUAAAAGCAAAUAGUCUGCAGUUACAGACAAUAGACACUAGAACAACUACAUUAUGCUGUAGUUGUUUUGGUGACUAUAGUGUCCCUUUAAAGAUAAAAUACAUAUCGUUUAAAGUGCUGUUUUGAUUUAUAUAUUAAGAGAGAGACCCCUGUCCAAUUUUUUAACAAAACUACAGGUGGCCAGGGAUCCUUAAUAAGAGGGUUAUUCACUAAAAUGGGAAAUUGUUGAUUGUUGGGAAUUCAAAGAGAAUUUUAAAUAAAAGGCAAACUGCAACACUUUUCCUAUUCAUCUAGGCUUCUAAUUUGGCUACGAUAAACGUAAAUAAAAAAUUUGCUUUGGGUUCACUUUGCAUUUCUGACAAUUCUCACCUUAGUAAAUAAUCAUGAGAGUGAUAAAAACGUGCUCAAAAAUUGUUUAACACCAAUUGAAGGCAAAGUGCUGGAUUACUCCAAGUGCUAUAAUCAUUCAAUGAGAUGAGCUUAGUUAUAGUUAUAGUUCCUACAGUGUCCCUUUAAAAGGGACAAUAUCCAUCUGCAUGCCUUGCUCUUUGAUUAUAAUAAUUUUGCUAGCAACAAGGAAGUGUUAUAUUUUUCUAUGCCAUGUAAAUACAUUUGUUUCUAUAAAUAUUUUCCUAUUGGUGCAUAUGACAUAAAAAAUUGAAUGUAUUUGUGCUAUUUGCUACCCAAAUAUGAAAACACUGUAUUUAAAUUUUAAACAUUUCACUUUCAUCAGAAAGGGAGAGGACAUAUAUAGCAUUAAAACUAGUGUAAUGGGUGAUGAUUAAUGCCAGUUAUUUACAGCCUUUGCAAUAAAAACAUGAAGAAACAUUUUUGAAUUAUUCAAAUAACACUAAAUGUUUCAGUGUAAGUUUGCUUUUUAGCUUCAGGGGCUAUCAGUGCGCAGAUUUCUUCAGAAAUAAAAAAAAAUUCUCAUCUGAUUAGAUUGUUACAGUCACCACCCAGUCUUCUUGUCCCUGGUCACAGAUCUCUGUCCACUUUAUUUUCGAAAUUGCCUGCCUCCUAAAGAUAUACCUCUAUAAUGGUGGUAGUUGAUAGAUUAACUAAAAUGGAUCACUUUAUCACAGCAAAAGUAGCACCCAUCACCAAGCAGACAGUUGUACUAUUCCAUAGACAUUCCCUUCAAAGUUUUGGAAAUCUUUUUGUAAUCUCCUACAAAUUCGAGUCCAUUUGUCCACUGCCUUCCACAUACAGACGGAAAGAACCAACAAGACAGUUGAACAACAUAUCCGAUGUUACACUACUCAUCUGAAAAAUGACUGGUAUGGGCUGCUACCUGUGUCAGAAAUUGCAUACAAUACACACCUACAGAGUUCAUAGCAUAAGUCUCCUUUCUACAUCAACUAUGCUUAACAUCAAAUCAUACUUCCUGAUCACAUGUCCUCUGCCUGAAGUUCAACAGUUUACCCAUAACCUCCAUAUAAAAUUCCUACUUGCUAAAAUCAUCCUACAAGAAACACAACAAAAAGCAGACCUGCUCCUGUAUUUCAUGUAGGGAAAAAUAUUUUGUCAAUACCAAAUAAUGACUGCCCGCUCUCCUGUGACCAUUUUUCUCUGCGAAUACACCCUGUAUUCCAUGUAUCAUUGUGGAAACCAUACAUACCUGACAUAUUUACCACAUGGAAUUGUAACCACAGGUGGUUCCCUUAUUUACCACUAUAAUGUCUUAAAGCAUAGAACUUAGUAGGGCUAACCAUACAGAUAUCUUAGCCAUAAUUUUAUAUAGUUAGUAAGAGAUCCUCUAUUUAACAUAUAUAAAUAAUUGAGAAUACAAUAUAAAAUAAGGAUUGUCUUGGAAGCAAUAGUUUUGUCUUUUUGGAUAUUUAUUAUAUAAAAAUAUAAAUAUAGACAUAUAAAAUCCAUAUAGCAGAGUUUCUAAGAUUAAACUAAAUGCUUGCAAAUAUCAUUAAUAGGUUAACAUACCCUUCUGAACAUGUCAUCAUGUCAGCCUCUCUGUCAUUUUAAGAUGGAGCAGCGUCUGUCUCCAAGUCUCUCCUCUGUGUCUUAACAUUUAAAAGUACACCUAUUUAUACCUUAGGUGUCUCCAUUUUAGGGUUACCGUGGUUCAAAUAUGAAAAAGUAACACUUCUUUUACUUUAUUCAUUUUAGGACCUCCCUUAACUUGGCAAACAUACAAGACCAUAACUAAAGGGUGUAUACGUCAUGGAAAUGUUCCUGACUUAAUUCAAGAUGGCAUCUUAAAGUCUGGACAUCCUUAUCUACUUAAGGUUACCACAGUAUAUUGUGUACUGAAAGAGUCGUAGUAUAGCCUUGAAGCUUGUUUAUGCAUUAUUGAAAUUCGUCUGGGACAAAAUGGCGCAAACAUAUUAUGUUCUGAGGUUAUUGCUUAAAGAAACAUCUAUGAAAAACAAUAUGUUCCAUUUCUAACACCUUGUCAGUUUGCAAUAUCUCUUAAAGACAAAGUACACAGUUUAAAAAAUACAACAUUUCAUUCUAAAACUUGUAAUAUUUGCAUUUGCCCAUAACAGAAUCCUCCACCUUCAGGUGCUAUCCAGCUUGAUGGUGAAGAAGAAUAUAAAUUGACUAAAAUGAUUGAUUCCCGUAUUCGUCGUGGAUGACUUUGGCACCUCAUCCAUAAGGUCCGUAAGAACGGUCGCUGGAGCCAUCCAUUAAUGUCCAUGCUCCUCACCUGGUUCAUUCUUUCCACCACAGUCAUCAAAGACAUCCUGCUCCCCACACCUCUGUAGCAUGUGUCUUAGAGGUGGGGUAUUGUCAAGACUUACCCCCAUUCCCUUGCUGCUCUGGCAGCACCUCUGAUCAUGUCACAUUUCCCAGGUAACGAUAGACACCUAGGAGAUAUGCACAAUCAUUCCAUGCAGCAGGACAGCCCUGUGAGUGUGGCUGGAACAUAUUACCACCCAUAGCAGCUCCAAAUUACUGACAGCCCAUACACCAGUAGUGUGAUAUGGAGGCUUGUCAGAAUAGGUGUGUCUAUAGUUAGGCACCCUAUUUAAACUAUGGACAGCUAAGCUAUCAUUGCUCAGUUGUUCUGUGCUACUUCCCUAAAACUACCUCUGUUAUUCCUGCUCUCAUGGAUUACUUGACCUUUGGCUUGCCACCCUCACUUCUGAAGCGUUGCUUUGCCUUUUGGUGCCUGGAUAUUUGACAUUUGCACUGCCUGACCUUGUUUUUGCCUUGCCCUUACUGGAUUUGUUUGCUUCGGACUUUAUUUUCUUCUUUGUGUCUACCUCUACAAGUACUGCAAACUGCGUUUUAUGCUACUAACCUGACAAAAACUAACAAAAGGCAAUAGUCUUCUGUAAAUACACCUAACCAGGAUGAAAAUAAUGGGGGUUUUGUUACCGUAUAUGAUCAUAUAUUGCAUAAGCCUGCCACAACGUCAAUGUACCCCAUUCUUGGCAGGUCCUACUCUAGCAACCUAAUGCCUACUCUAUUAAUCUACUUACUUGGGAAAUACUUCCUUCUGGGACUUUCUGCAGUGCAGGGUGAAAUAGGGCCCUGGAAUGAGUCACCUGUGACAGGGAGGGGAGCAAGACCGGGAAGUUGGCCUAAACUCCCAAAUAUAUAUAUACGUGUGUGGUGUGUGCUGCUGGGACCAAUUCAUACAAUAUACAACAUCCAGAGCACUUACUCAUUCACUAAAUGGCAAUUUCUGUGGAAAUUAGCUUUUUAGCUUCAAGGGCUUUUUGUAUGUAGAUUUCUUCAGAAAUAAGAACUUUAAAUGUUUCAAAUUCCAUGCUGUCUAAAUAUUUCAUCUUUUGUUUUGUAUGCACCUGUCCUGCUGGUAUGUAUGCCUAGAUAUAUGGUAAGAACAAUGACGACAUUACUUUUUUUAUAACAAUUUUAGCAUUAUCAAUUUGUUGAAAAAAAGGCUUAAUGCCUUAUGUUAAGCAGCCCAUGCAUUUUCACUUUAUUUGCACAUUCACUUAUAGCACUAUUUGCACAUUGAUCUUUCCAUUUUAGCAAUUAUAAUUAAAGUAAAGAGUUUUCUACUGUGAGGAUUUAUAAAAUAUGAGAUAUGUAUUCUGCAUUUUAUUUUAAAGGAUAAUCCAAGCACCAAAAUCAUUCCUUUUAAUUAAAGGGACACCGUAGGCACUGUAUCUGCUUCAUCUCAUUAAACUGGUUAUAGUGUCUGGAGUCCCCUGGUACCAUCAUUUCUAUCAGCAUUAAACAGUUUUUAAAGUUUUAAUGUUUUAAUGCUAAGCAAGAGUCCCCGGCAAUCCAUCCCCUCUGUGCUGCUUUGGCUAAUAAGGAAGUAUUAGCAUGAGCAGCAAUGGGCAGCUGUGAUUGGCUGAGAGUGUCAGCUGACUGCUUUUAGCCUGUCAGAGAUCCAACUGACGGUAUGAAUGGGUAUGACAACAAGGAAGGGUGUAAUCUCUGCCUUAGCUACACGUACUGAAGGGGCCAGACUGUGGCUGGCCAGGGGCUCUUAUUUUGUGGCAUACUGCACGAACAUGGUGCAACACUGAAUGGAGGACAGUGCCAGGGUACUCCAGGCACUAUAACCAAUUCAAAGAGAUGAAAUGCUUUUAGUGACUACAGUGUCCCUUUAAGUAAUUUUAAGGCAUAAAUGCUGACUCUACAGUCUUGCAGAUGAAUACAGUUUACAUUUUGCAAUGCCCACCCAUAUUAGUCGUAAGGGGCUUGGGUGGCAGCAAUGACCGGGUUUUAAAUGUCUACAGAAAAUUCAUUUACAUUUACUGCAAGAAGAAGAGGUGAGAGAUGGAACUAGCCCUGGAAGAACAUGGGAAUCUAAAGAAAAACCAAGAAGCAGACUUGGAGUGAAUGAAAAUUAAGGCUUUCACAAGCCAACUUUAUUAAAGGUUAAUGUGUGUGUAUAGCAAUCACAUCUGACAUGUGUCAUCUAGAUAAAGAUUCUGCUACACUACAAUUUGGUAGUUUGUGAUUUUUUUCUCAUUGUCAGAGUAAGAUCUGAAACUUUUAAUAUUUAUUUAUAUUUAUUUUUUCAGUAUUGGACAAAUGAUUUUUACAUCACAGAAUCCUAAAAAAAAUUGAAUGAGAUUGAAUGUUCCAUACGCAGGAUGUCUGGAAAAUAGACCUUUACAUCUAUGAAUUAUAAAUCAGAUUAUUGUUAAUAUAUUAUAAUCCAGGUAUUUUUAUUUUAGGUAAGACAUCGGACGCAACACCAUUUGAGGUCUCCUAUUCUUUUUUGUCUUCGCAGAUCUAAACAGACAUAACUAAUCUGUAGUCCACAGGUGGGAGGUAAAACACGGCUGACACGGGUGUACCGUGAGCUAAGUGAAUCCUUUGAAAGAGAAAAAGAAAUGUUGGUGUGCCAACAUUUGUUUUCAAGAGAGAAUAUGUUCUUAACUCACGGUAUAUCUGUGUCAGCAGUGUUUAUAUAUAUAUAUAUAUUUUUUUUCUCAUUAACUUAGGUUAUAUUGCCACCUUGUGGACUACAAGCAGAAAUGCUACUUUGAAUUGCACUAUAGAAGGUAAUGCUUCUAUUUAGAUAAUAUUUAAUGUUUUACUGUAUAAUUAUCUUAAAUUUAAUAAAAUAUAAAAUUAAUGUAACCAAACAUUAUAGCAAAAGAGAAAAUUACAGUUAGGUUUCACGUAAUAGUCAGAAACAGUAGUUUUACUGAUGUAUUUACUGCAAUAAAUAAUAGCAUAUAACAAUAAAAGCAAAAAUACAACUUUUCUCAUUAAAACUUCAUUUCUUAUUUUUUUAAUUUUUAUAAUUCUUUAUUUAACAUUGAAGAAUAGACAUGAUAUACAAUCUGUAAGAUGAAUUAUAACAUGAAUUAUUAACUAUAGAGUUAAAUUUUAAGUCUAGUAGUUCAAAAUUAAGUUAUUCAACAUUGAGUAUUUUAUGUUUAAAGUAAAAUAACCCCCCCCAAAAAAAACCCAACACACCUCUCUAUCUAGAUAUAUCUUUCCUUUUAAUAUAUGCCUUCCAGGGUUCCCAGACCUUGCUUAAAAUAUGGUAAGACUGUCUAACUCUUGAAGCUAGAUCGUCCAUAAUAUAAUUUUCUUGAACCUGUAAGUUGACCUCUUUCAGAUGGUGGAUCUAAUUUUAGCCAACCGGCAGCUAUACAUCUACAUGCUGCCCAUGAGAUUAGAAAUAUUAGUUUCUGUGAAUGACUCGGUAUUCCCGCUAUUGAUUUAGAUAAUAAAAAUGUCCAAGGGUUAAGUUCUAUGUUUUCCAGUAUUAUCGUCGAGACCAGUUUUUUUAAAAUUCUUCCCAAAAGCCUUUUAUUUUUGGGCAUUCCCACCACAUAUGUAAUUAUGUCCCUUGUUGACCAUAUCCCCGCCAGCAUAGAUCAAUCAGGUUUUUACAGAUUUUAUACACGAAAACGGGGGUCACAUGCCAUCUAAACAAUAUUUUAAACAUCUGUUUUUGAGAGAUCACACAUAUCGAUAUGUUAUAUGCUGUUUCCCAGAUAUCUAUCCAAUCAUUUGCUUCUAAAGAGAUUCGUAGAUCUGCCUCCCGAUGGGAAAUAUAAUUUAAAACUGUAGAUUCCCUUUAUCUUUCCUAUUUUGCAAACUUUUUCGAAAUCAGUAAGGGGAAGUUUAACUGCCAUCUUUACUUCCGUCGAGUAAGCAAAGUCUCUAAUCUGCAAAGAGUGGAAAAAAUCUCCUAUUCUGGCUGUUAAUCUGGAAAAUACCAACAUUUACUCUUUUGAAUGAGGGGGUAGGCUGACAUAUUCUUCGGUUCCUGGGAGAGAAAAUAGGCUUGUAACAAUUUUGAAUAUAUGCGUACAAGCCUUGGAGUAUGCUAGUUAAUUGGAGUAUGCUAGUUUAUUUUGCAUCGCAAAUAAAAUAAAAACUUCUAUAGCCGGUUUUGGGACUGAAUGGAAUAAUGAGUAGUAUAAUGAAAAAAUAAAGAUUUUUGUAUGGAUAAACUAGUCUUACAAUAAAAAUGAUAAUACGGGGGGGGGGGAGGGGGAAGGUCUUUUGUCAAGUUUAUUCCUUUUUCCUGAUUUCCACAGACAAUAUGAAAUGGACAAAAUGAAAUGUAAUAUAUACAUGCUUAGCAGUAAUUGGUUCUACUAUGAAUGCAAUAGUAGCAGAGUAGGCACUUCAAUAAAUGGUCACCACUAGAGAAGGGGCAGUAAACAAUGUAAAAAAAAAUAAAAACUGUUGCUAGAAGCCAUAUGAGCAUAUAUUAAUAUUUUAACAAACAUGUAACCCCAUUUUUAUUGGAGACUGAGACAUGGUUUAGGGUCAUGAACUCUGUCAAAACAUUGAGCCUCACUUGAAUCGGAGCCUCUACUUUGCGUGGGAAAUUGGGACAUCAUUCUUUUAUUUUUUAGUUGAAAGGGUUACUCCAAUUACCAUAACCAGUUCAGUGUCUUCAAGUGGUCAUGCUGGUGGAGUUAUGUAUGUGCAGUGUUUCUGCUUGAACACGACACAUACAAAGAUAUAUGUUAUUGUGCACUGGGGGACAAGUUGCACCCCCAGCACACAUGACGUUGGCAUCCCAGAACUCUGAGCUGCCAAUGUCAUGUCUGUGCGUAAAAAAAUGUCUGUCUUCAGUGUCCACUGCACUCUGCUAAACCACAUGAAAAUAUUUCCCUUGUAGGCAGGUCCCCCAGUUUUAUAAUUAGAGAUCCCACCAAUCACUCAUGUAUGAGGGGGGACAUUAGGUACCUCCAUACACUUUUUUAUUAGCCCCAACCUGCUGGCCAUGGGUGAGUGCACAGGGGUACUCUCUGCUCUUUAUUUUUUAUUUGUAGCCCCACCGUGCAGGCUGGGGCACCUGUGUCCAGUUCUUAUUUAUUGUAUUAGUGACUGUGCAGCAGUAGGUGCCUGUUCACUAGCCUUUUUAUUACAACGAGAAGCCACUCGCUGUUUAGUAGACAUACCCCAACCUGUGGUAGGAGGUUGUAAGCAUCCCUUGUAAUGACAAUUGUACUCAAAAGUUUACAUACCCUGGCAUAAAUUGUGAAAUUUUUACAUUGAGUUUGAAAAUAUGACUGAUCAUGCAAAAAAAAAAAAUAUAUAUAUGAUUGAAGGAUAGUGAUCAUAUGAAGCCAUUUGUUAUCACAUAGUUGUUUGGCUCUUUUUUUAAAUCAUAAUGAUAACAGAAAUCACCCAAAUGGCCCUGUUCAAAAGUUUACAUGCUCUUGAAUGCUUGGCUUUGUUACAGACACACAAUGUGACACACUGUCAAUAGACCUGCGUAAGAAGGUAAUGGAACUUUAUAAAGAUGGAAAAGGAUAUAAAAAGAUAUCCAAAGCCUUGAAAAUGCCAAUGAGUACUGUUCAAUCACUUAUUAAGAAAGUGGAAAAUUUGCGAAUCUAUUGAUCCCAAUCCAAG
rnacentral:lncRNA from 1 species